AACAUGUAAUAAACUUUUAUUUAUCUUAAAUUUACAUUUAACUGAAUGUCCAGUAUUUUAUCUGGCAACCUUACCUUAAAUAGCUGUCAAUCUACAUUUUGGUCAAACAUAAUAAAAUUUUAAAGAGUAUACAUUCUUUCUAUAUGUUAUUUUUUCUGCAUCAACCUAUAUUUAAAACAAUAAGUGCAUCAAGUAAAGUAGGUCACAUUUAUAGUUAUUACUCACUAAAUUGUAUUUGUAUGUGGAUGUGUGUAUUCCAAAACCUGAGUAAGAAGACGACAGAACAGUUGAACAAAGAUGUGUACGGUGCUGUGUUUACUUGUGAGACUGUUGAUGUCCAUGUCCGAGAACAUGCAUAAUAGCCAGGCUUCCGUUCCUAUAAUAGUUCCAGUUCUAAAGUCAGUUCCGUAGAUUGAUUUGAACCAUUUUAAGGCUUUAGAAAUCCUUAAACCUUAAAGACAUAAUUGCUACUUUAGAAUUCACAUCUCUAUUUUCUUUGAAGUUUGCAAGCUGUUUUUCUCAUGACUAUUUGUGAUUUGAAAUUAUCCAUCUUGGGAUUCUACUCCAAUACAAUCUAGAAGAAAAUUAAGGGCAGCCCGGAGGUGAGGCAGAACUCUGAGGUGGUCCAUUAUGGCUGACAUGCAACAUCUGGUAUAAAGACUGGAGAUGGCAGUGGGCCCCCGGAGGCAGUAUCCCAUACCUCUGACAUGCACCGUGGAGAUGGAGACAGCUCCAAAUGUGCAGGCAUUUGACUCGCUGCUUGCUGGUCCUGUAGCAGAGGACUUGAAGAUCAGUAAAGAGGCUGGGGGAGAUGUGCAGAAACAUGCAGAGAUGGUCCACACAGGUUUGAAGUUGGAGCGAGCUCUGUUGGUUACAGCUUCUCAGUGUCAACAGCCAGCAGCUAAUAAGCUUUCCAAGUUGUUGGCACCCACCUCAGAGCAGAUCAAAGAAGUGACAACCUUUCGGGAGGAGAACCGAGGCAGCAAGUUGUUUAAUCACCUGUCGGCUGUCAGCAAAAGUCUCCAGGCCCUGGACUGGGUGGCUAUGGCUCCCAAGCCUGGCCCUUAUGUGAAAGAAAUGAAUGAUGCUGCCAUGUUUUAUACAAACCGAGUCCUCAAAGAGUACAAAGAUGUGGAUAAGAAGCAUGUAGACUGGGUCAAAGCUUAUUUAAAAGUAUAUGGACAGAGCUGCAGGCUUGCAUAAAGGAGUUCCAUACCACUGGACUGCCUGGAGCAAAACGGGGCUGUGGCAAAAGAACUGAGUGGACCUGCCGUCAGGACCCUCUGCCGGGUCAGGUCCUCCUCCCCUCCACCAGGCCCCCUCCUCCCCCAGUCUCUACCAGUUCAGGCUCAGAUGAGUCCGCUUCCUGCUCAGCACUGUUUGCGCAGAUUAAUCAGGGGGAGGGCAUCACACAUGCCCUGAAUCAUAUAUCUGAUGACAUGAAGACUCAGAAGAACCCUACCCUGAAGGCUCAGAGGGUCCAGUACGCAGUGGCCCCAAGCCAUUCUCUGCACCUAAACCCCAAACCAGCCACAAAGAAGGAGCCAGCUGUACUUGAGCUGAAGGGCAAGAAGUGGAGAGUGGAAAAUCAGGAAAAUGUUCCCAGCCUGGUGGUUGAGGACACAGAGCUGGAAGAGGUGGCUUACAUACACAAGUGUGUCAACACGUACAUACACAAGUGUGUCAACACGACGUUGCAAAUCAAGGGCAAAAUUAACUCCAUUACAGAGAUAACCGUAAGAAGCUUGGUCUGGUAUUCGAUGACGUGGUGGGCACUGUGGAGAUAAUCAACAGGAGGGAUGUCAAAGUUCAGGUAAUGGGUAAAGUGCCAACCAUAUCCAUCAACAAAACAGAUGGCUGCCACGCUUACCUGAGCAAGAAUUCCCUGGAUUGUGAAAUAGUCAGUGCCAGAUCUUCCGAGAUGAACGUCCUCAUUCCUACAGAAGCCGGUGACUUUAGUGAAUUCCCACUUCCUAAGCAGUUCAAGACCCUCUGGAACGGGCAGAAGUUUGUCACCACAGUGACAGAAAUUGCUGGCUAAGCGAAGUGCCUCUGGGUUCUCUGCCCUCCCUUCAUACCGUGGGAUAAAUCUGUAUCAAGACGAUUCUUUUCUAGACUUCCUCUACCUUUCUGCUCUUAAAACUGCUUCUCUGCUCUGAGAAGCACAGCUACCUGCCUUCACUGAAAUAUACCUCAGGCUGAAAUUUGGGGUAGGAUAGCAGGUGAGUUGAUCUGCAGGAAGGUGCAGCUUUUCCGUAUCAGCUCAGCCACGCCGCCAGUCCAUUCUUACGCAACUGCCGACUAGGACUGAUGAUGCAUUUUAGCUUUGAGCUUUUGGGGGUUACUCUACCAACAAACAAACAGUCCAUGGAAAGAAAAGAGUCCCAGGAAUUAACAGAUCAGAAUGUUCACACUGGUUAAUCUUUUUUUAACAAUGAGCAUGAAGGUAGCAGAAGCUGGUGUGUUUCCAGAUGGUUCUGCUAACCAAACUCAUUUUUCACUGUUGACAAGCGAGGCAAGGGUUGCACUGGACCAAAGGCUGAGGCUUGGCCAUCUAGCAUUCCAUGCAGACUUGUUUCCUAUAAGCAUUCCUUUUAUUCUCUAUUCUAUCCUGGGUCUGCCUCAACCAUGAGAUAGGAGAGUCUCUGAUACUAGCUGCUGUAGCAGUGCCCUUCAUCCAGCGAAGUUAAUGGAGUCUUGGACCCUUUCUUUCUUUCUCUGGGAUCUCUGCCCAGCACCUUCUACAGAGAUGACUUUAAAAGGAAAAAAAAAACACACACACACAUACACACACCAUUUCAAGGAGUCUGGCAUUCCUGAAUCCUCCUUCCCUGCCAGGUGCCUGUCACCUAUCUUCACUGCCUCCUUUUCCCUGUCAUGCUCAUCAGCUUAUGGCUUCUAUCCAAGCACCUGAACAGAAGACUAAAACCGCUACUGCAGGCUGGUUUUAGGUCUUGACUUAUGUAAGAAUCUUGCACAGCACUGCUAAUGUAAAUUUCAGUUUUUCCCUCUGAGACAAACACUCACCAAAAUAUGCAACAUUUUUUUUGGUGGGAAGAGAGAUUGUCCUGUGAUUUCUACCCAUUUCCUGAGACCUGUGGAAAUAAACCUUUAUGUACUUAAAGUUAUACAGAAAAUAGAAUAAGUUAAUACCAAACUUGAAAAAAAAA